CUUGUUAAUAUUUUUCAGGAUGGGUCUUUUGCAAUGUGUGUUAGUGCUGGUUGUGCUUGUGGCGUUUGAUCUGAAGAAUGCUUUUGGAAAUCUGAAUCCAGUCAAAUUCCAAGAAGCAUCAAUCAUAUCCAGCUUCCAGAGUACCUGUUUCUUAAGUGCUUGGGAACACUUUGCAGAAGGCUUCUCAGUUUCAGAGUCUUGACUACAGCGUAUUUGCAAAAGAGCCUCUUGGGCUUCAGGAGAAGCAGGUGUUUCAGGGACCAGUGAAGCCUUUGGAUUGGAGGUUUCCCGCUGUUCCAGAAGUGCUGAGCAAGAUGGUGGUGGACUUUCAUUUAAGGCAACUUGUGACCCCUAGAUGUGUAGCUAUUCAGUGUAGUGAGAACCAGAUUAAUGUGGAGGUAUAGCAGGACUUGUUUAGCAAUGGAAAUCUGAUCCAGCCAUCUGGUUUGACUUUAGGAGGAUGUCCUGUUGUUGGUUUGGUCCCAGGCUCAAAGGUGCUCUUUGAGAAUGAACUGCAGGUCUGCAACCGUGUUGAUGAUGUCUAGUGGAUGCCAAGGUCAAUGCUUCCAGACCUCUCCCAUUUGCUCUGGUUUGUGACUCCUUACCUGUGGUGUCUCUUGAGGAUCAGAACGUGUGUUCUGAAGGCCACUCUCGCUCGGGCGCCCGGUUAAGCGCUCCACAAGUCCUGUUCCUUUGCCAAUGGGUGGCUUGCUGCUGAUGGGAACCAUCAGGUUUGUGGUUGCUGUGACCCAACAGGUGUUCCUGAUGGUGGAACUGCUGCUCCUCCUUUUGGAGGCCUUCAGUGGGAAGGGAAGGCCUCGCUCGGUCCUGUAGUGGUUCAAGAGCACAAAAAGACUUUAGCUUGUUCAAUAAAUGUGGGGAGAAAACUU